GAGUAAUCGAUUAAUGAUGUUGAG
rnacentral:siRNA from 1 species